UCGCGUUUUCCCAGAAUACAUCAGUAUCCGCCCGUCCGGAAAUUCUCUGUGAAACUGGUCGUACAAUGCUGACUCCUGGGGAAUUUUUUCCGUUUUCGGGUGUAACAGUUUCAUUCCACUCGUAACCAGGUAAGACUAUAUGUGAGACAAUACAGAUGCCGCCGCAGGUAAGACAUACAAAGACAAGUUCCGGUGGUUGGUCUACAUCUAGUUGCGUGGAAUGACACCAGGAGCUACACAACGAAAGAAAAAAGAUUUAUACUGAGAUGAAAAUCAUGACAGUUUCACUCAUUGAUCUUUGAUGGAAUAUUCUGACGUCAUUGUGGUUAUAAAUUAAGACGUAUGACACGGUUCUGAAAAUCAACUAGCUACUUGCUGUGAUUCAUUCACUAUAAUAUUCGUCGGUCCCAGUAUAUUCAUUCUUUGAGGAUUUUGUUGAAACGAACAGAUAAAGACUUCCUUGUCCUGUUUUUGCCAAACAAGGAUUGCAAUGCGUCAUGAUUCAUAGAAGAAAUACAAAUUCUGCCAAUGUUUUAUAAACAUCCUGUAUCGCCAAAUGUCGUGCGAAUCAAACAACCAUUGUGUUAAAAAUUGACCUUUCAAAUUCAAAGAGUUGUCACUGCCAAGCAAUUUCAAAGAUCAAAAACUGUUUUACCAAAUGGAGCUAUACUUGGAAAAUUGUUCAUUUUUUCUGUAGUUUAUGCCCUGGAAGAUCUCUGGUAGAACUUUGGUAUUUGGCUAUAACUUUCAAACCGUAGUGAGUAACGUCUACAAGUAUGGCAUGCAUAUUUUACAAUCAACGCUCUUUGAAAAGUAUUUAUAUCAAAGAAUUGUGUUCUUCCAUUUGUCUUUAACAAGUGUACUGUAUUGUUACCGAUUGUCAUCUUUUGUCCACGAUCUUACCUUUCUGUGCAAAUAGCAAAUCAGACCUGUAAUCAUUUGAGUUUAUAAUAAAAAUAUUAUUUUUUU